ensembl:lncRNA
AGGGGCCCCAGGGGGUGACCAGGAGCAGGCGGAGCCCCUCUGUGGGGACUGUUGCUAUGUUCUUUCCAAUCCCAGCCCACAAGCAUUCCUAGCAGGUGCAGCAGGAGUUUGGAGGAGGAAUAGGCCCUUUCCUGGUCUUUCUACACUUGCCAAGUCUCCAAAUUGGCCUUUCAGCCUUUGAUAAGGAGCACGACUACAACACGACAUCUCCGGGCUCCCGCUGUGAAAUCUGUUUCGGGUCUGGACUAGGAUAUCGGGAAUUUCUAGAGAGCGGAGCAAAGGCCACAGUAGUUGCAGUAAUCUAUCACCGACCUCUGCUUGUCUACCUUCCCACACCCCGUGGACCACUGUUUCACAAAAUGUGAACUUGGGAAUCUCAGAGUACAAAACUUUUGCAACUUCCUGUGCGUCUAUGAGU